rnacentral:rRNA from 1 species
UACGUAGGUGACAAGCGUUGUCCGGAUUUACUGGGCGUAAAGAGCGCGCAGGCGGUCGAUCAAGUCGAGUGUGAAAGCCCCCGGCUCAACUGGGGAGGGUCAUUCGAAACUGGUCGACUCGAAGGCAGGAGAGGGUAGUGGGAAUUCCCGGUGUAGUGGUGAAAUGCGUAAAUAUCGGGAGGAACACCAGUGGCGAAGGCGACUUCCUGGCCUGUUCUUGACGCUGAGGCGCGAAAGCUAGGGGAGCAAACGGGG